rnacentral:sRNA from 1 species
ACCUAAAAUUGAGAAUAAACAAAUGUGAACGCAUUGCAUUUCACUCCCAAUACUGGGUUUUCUAUUUAAGAAAUAAACGAUUACUGGAUUUCUGGGUGUGGCAGAACUUGUGAAACUGGAUGAAACAAAGCACAGGAGUGAACAUCAAAGUUAGGACUGCGGAAAUAUUCACAGUGUGAAUCCACCAAAGCCCGCCCCCCCAACGCAAUCAACAAGUGAACAAUGCAUUUGGACACCACGGCAGCAAUGAAGCGCCUGCAGCAGCUAUGAUAAAGAGAGGCAGGACUCAUAAAAUAGACAGCGAAGGGAAGGAACAGACAGAACACAAAUGAAGAACGUGGUGGCUUCUCGGUGUUGAAGAGCUGCGAGGGCAUACUGAGUGGUGGGAACCGUGUAAACUGAAUCAGGAUUUGAGGCUCCUUCACAGGAGGGAAUUCACGCCUGAUACUGUGCAGAUCUGGUUACAAGACGUGCCAGGGAAGUCAUGGAGGCCCUUCCCACCUCCCGGGACCUAUUGGAUACUGGAGAAUAAGGAGUCACUGUCCUCAGCUCCAUACUGGUGCUCAGGUGGAAGACCCUGCUUGAACUCAGCGGGUCACAAAACACAACAGAAAGACUUGAGAGUAGGAUGGGGACCCAGAAGGAGAGGGGUCAGUGAGGGUUGGCGUGAGGGUGAGAGGAUGGAGAGGAUGGGGGCAUGAGUGUGAUCCGUGUACUACACACAUGUGUGAACUGGCAAAGAAGUCAAUGACAAGGAAGUUAUUCACAACAUUAUCAUUCUCUUUCUUUUGUGUGCAAAUUAAGUGUAUCUAAGAGGGCGUCUUAUUGUUCCUGGUUUGUUUGGUUUUUGAGACAAGAUCUCAGUAGGUAACCUGGAAUUUACUGGAUGUCAUCAAAGUCAUCAGGGGUGUUGCCUUUGAUGUGACGCUGAUAUUUCUCUUACUAUUGGGCAUUUCUCCCAGUGCUCACAGGUACCUCCUCCUGAUUCAGUUUUCUAUAUCCACUGUCUAGUUAUCCAUUUAGCAAAAUGUUUUGUUGCAAAAUGUUCUAACAAUGUAACAGACAUUCUGUAUAUAAAUCCUGAUGCAUGUGUCUCUCUGCUUUACAUUAAUCAAAUAAGACUAAUACUCCUCAAAACACUAUUCAAAUUAAGUGACUGGAAUUAUAAUUAUUCUGUUUCAUCAAACUAUGAUGCUAUUAUUUUCUGAACCUGUAAGAGGAAAAAAAAAACUCCUCCAAUUACAACUGUAAGAAGUGUCAUGAUUUCAGAGACACUAAUUAGCGUAAGAGUGUGACUCCCAGAGUGGAAUAGCUAUGACCGUUACAGGUGUAUCAGCUAAUCAGAGAACUAUUUUCAGUAAAUCUCCCUUUCCACUAUUUAUGCUAACCUAUAUUACUGACUCUGGGAUGCCCACUUCUCUUUUUAGCCAUAUAAAUAUCCCUGUUGAUUACUGUUAUUAGUAAGUCAGUUUCUUACUUAGGACUAAGUGACUAACAGACAUAACAUGGAAAAAACCUGAAGUCGCCACUUCUAAAUACAACGGGAUGAGGCUAGCUUAAGGAGCCAGCAGUCUUGGUCUCUCUGAUUAAAUAUUUAUUGGGAGUCAUAAUACAUAGUAGGUACUGAGCUGUGAAUCAUUGAUGAAGAUGAUGGGGUAAACCCCAAAAUUGUUGAGGGGUUCUAAUCUAUACUAAAAAUAUACAAAUGACCACCAGGGAGAUAAAAAGGUGGCAAUAGGUAAGGGGCAUUCUGUCCUUAAAAUUAAAGUUCAACCGAUGCUGUACAUAUAAAAUGUAGCUUGUGCAUGCUACUAGCUCCAGAAUUGGGGGAAACAAGGAAGGAGAAGUGAGAGUCUGGGGCUAGUGAGGGCUACAUAAUGAAAUCAUCAUGGCUCAAAUAAAGACAGGAAAACCUGAAAAACAAAACUCCUCCAUCCCAUUCCCUCCCCUUCUCACCAGUCCCCACCCUGGACAGCACUCACUGAUAGCUGUCUGUCUCUAAAAGUUGAUGUGUGUUUUCUGGAACAGUACAGAAGGUACCGUGCACUGCAGGAACCAAAACCAGACACACAGGUGUGGAUCGCAACCAACCACACAUAACUGAGACUGGAUGAGGAGGAGGGGACUACUGUAUUCUCCAUCCACAGAGCCUUUUACUCAUUACAGCAAUGCAAAGUCCAUCCGUGUUGCACAUAUCUUUUCAUUUUUUUAUUUAUUUUAUGUAUAUGCUGUUGCUGACACACCAGAAGAGGGCUUCAGAUCCCAUUACAGAUGGUUGUGAGUCACCAUGUGGUUGCUGGGAAUUGAACUCAGGACCUCAGUGUAAGCACUGAUAGAGGACAGCAGAGGGUGUUACAUCUUUUGGGGCUGGAGUUACAGAUGGUUGUGAGCUGAUCAGCAUGGAUGCCAGGAACUGAACUCAGGUCCUCUAGAAGAGUCUCAAAUGCUGAGCCAUUUCCCAUGUCCGGUGCAUCAAUAGUAGGCACACGUAACUUUUCAAGAAACUGCCACACUAUAUUGCAGAGUGGCUGUGUCGCCUUAUAUCACCACCAGCAGUGUAGAGAGUUCUAGUCCCUCCACAGUCUCAGCCACACUGGUGUGGCUGGCAUUUUGAAUUCUGGCUAUUCUAAUGAGUAUGAGGUCAUCUCUCUGAUGACUAGUUAUACUGAGCAUCUUUCCACGCGCUUACUUCCUGUCUGUGUAUCUUCUUUGGCAAAAUGAUAAAAAUUUUUGUUCAUUUUUAUUGCUUUGAUUAUUACUGAACCUAGAGAACUAUAAAAACAUUCUGAUCUCGAAUCCAUGACCAUCGAUAAAAAGGAACAAACUAUGAAUACAUUCAGCAGCGUGGGUAAAUAAGCUGAGUAAGCAGGCACGUAUGACUCCUUCAGGAAAAUAUUGGAAGGUGUAAAUUAUCUCACAAGACAUUUUGCAUUCUUCUCUCUCCUCUCUUUUCCUUGUUUUGUAGGUAAACUUUCCUAUAUUUUGAAGACCUUUACAUCUCUCCGUGCAACUUCAUUUCAGAGUCUGGCACUGUGGCUCUUCUCCAUUUCUUUGUAGCCUGAGGAGGAGCGAGGAGGAGUGGAGGAGGGGAGGGAGAGCUCGCUGAGUACUGGGCAGUCUGUAUGAGCCUGCUUCUUUCCUUGGUUUGUCAAGUGAUCUUUUACUGACGAGCUUCCCUCUGGGGUUAAGCAGUUGAGCACUGUACUGCACCACUACUGGUGUCAUCCAUGGAGUCAAAGGGCAGCAACACCCAACACCCAACACUGCAGCCUGAGAGCUGGUAACCCCUGUCUCUAACAGUUCUAGGAGGUCUCUAGAUAAAACCCGGUGGGGUGGCGAGGCUGACACCACCUAACCGAGAGUGCCUGUCCCACUCUAACAUUUUUCUGUCUUCACUGCCUCUGAGUAGGUGUUUGAGGACUUCAGUGGUUAGGGCAGAGGUAGAAGGUGCCUGUCCUGAAUGCAAACUCCACUCUUACAUCUUUCCCAUUGCUAGCUGUCCUGGUGAUGCUGUCAUCAACUUUAUUUUGGGGUGGUGGUGGUGGUAGUAACACCAGGAACCUGAGAAGAGGAGGUGCCGCCUUCUGCUGGCCCUUUGACAUCUUUGGGGCUGACUUGGAUGAUACAGCAGAGGCAGCUGGUUCCACACAUAGGAGGAAAGCUGCACCUUGGCCUUCUCCAAGCCAAAAAUCUGAAAAGAGUACCUUCUGAGCUUUGGAUUGCUCAGUUCAGCUCAGAGCCCUGAAAAUGAUGGGCUCUGGGGCGGCCAGAAAUACUCCUGCAGUAACUUAAGUUUCUUUUCAAGGAUUUGGGCAACCCCUACCAAUGCCUGCUGAGUACCAUGAAGAAGUCUUAUAGUCUGCCCGUUAACUGUCUACCCAGGACGGCUUCUCAGGGAUACAGGUGGCUCAAAUACCACUGGGUCCUGUAAGAGCUGACAAUUCCCAAUUUCCUCAGCCACUAGUUUUCUGUCUACAUGGUCUUUUGGGGAUUGCUGUUCCCAUAGUUCUGCUUGGUUUUUACUAAUUCUCAUCUAUUGAAGGAAUGGGUUGAAGAAGGAAUACUUUAUUUUUCAGUUUCACUUCAUGUUCUUUACCUGGAAGGCCCUUGUGUAUCUGUGAAAUAGACAAGCGUAGUGAUCACGUCAUCUUGGCUGCUCCACAGAUCCUAGUCCAGCAUGAAGCAUGGAUCCGUACACAAACUAUGAUGAGGAUUAAGAAACCGAGCAAGGGAUGGAUUAAACAGCUUCUCAAAGUCAAGUAACCAUUGAGCCUGUGUUCUCCAUGUCUAGAGAGCAUCUCUUGUGAGGGAGAGUCCUCCAGGCAGUGGACUAGAUUUAGGGCUGCUACCCCUGGCUGCUGAUUGCAUUCCUAGAUGCUUUUCAUAUGGAAAACCCUGGAUGUCUCUGUAGCUGAGAGAACUCUCCAGCCCUUCAACGCUCCAGCCCUCCAGGACCAAACGAUGAUGGAUUUCCAAGAGUCCUCGAUGAGGCGGAAUGUGAAAGUCAGUAUGCAAGGGUCCUGUGCAAUGGUACAGCGGCAGCAGAUGGAGGAGAACAGACAGCUCAUGGAGCAGUUGGGGACUUAGGGAAAGCCAUGCACUCGCUGGCAGGAAUUCAUGCUUCCAUAGUCUAGCAAAGCCCCCAUGUUCCCUAAGCCUACAGUACCAGACACUGAAAGUGACAGUCAAGACGGUUUCAUUUGUCUUUCUGUAAGCUGUAAAGAAAUAUAAUAUUAUGAAGCGGCACGUGUAAUUUUAAGUUUUCUACUUUUUUAAGUGAGAAAAGUCAUGUGUAUGGCUCACAUCUGUAACCUUGGUACUCAGAAGGCUGAGGCAGGAGGAUUGCUUGUGAGUUUGAGGCCAGCCUGGGCUACACGGUCAGUUCUAGGACAGCUUGGGUUAUACUGUGAAAACCUACCUCACCCCCUCAAUAAAAUUAAAUGAAAAAAAAAAAAAAA